UUUUUGUAUUUUUAGUACAGACGUGGUUUCACCAUAUUGGCAAAGCUAGUUUCAAACUCCUGACCUCAGAUGAUCCACCUGCCUCGGCCUCCCAAAGUGCUGAUUACAGGCAUGAGCCACCAUGCCCGGCCAGGAAAUACCUCUGAGUAACCGGAAGAAGAGGACAACUCACAUCAUAAGUCCUUUAUACCUUCCAUGAAGAAAAGCAGGAUGCAUGAUGCCUGAGCCCUGCCAGGCAACCACCAUGCCCCAUAGAGGUCAUGACCACAGGACUUAAUCUGGGAAGAAGAAGCAACAGGGCGAGCCUCACCUUACUUAUUGGAUGCCGGAAUAGAACAAAAGGCAGGGUAAAGAGAAUCCUCUCUCUCUCUGCUAGACUGUUUUUUGAGCUGGCACAUCCAUCUUCUUCUAAACUUAGACUGGAAUAUACACUGUUGGCUCUCCUGGUUCUCCAGCCUUCGAACUCAGACUGGAACUACAACAUCAGCUCUCCUCCAGGUGACGUAUGGCAGAUUAGAGGACAUCUCGGCUUUCAUAUCAUGUGAACAAAUUUCUUACAAAUAAAUGAAUCUCUCUCUCCU
rnacentral:lncRNA from 13 species